AGUGAACGCUGGCGGUAGGCCUAACACAUGCAAGUCGAACGGCAGCACAGAGGAGCUUGCUCCCUGGGUGGCGAGUGGCGGACGGGUGAGGAAUACAUCGGAAUCUACUCUGUCGUGGGGGAUAACGUAGGGAAACUUACGCUAAUACCGCAUACGACCUACGGGUGAAAGCAGGGGAUCUUCGGGCCUUGCGCGAUUGAAUGAGCCGAUGUCGGAUUAGAUAGUUGGCGGGGUAAAGGCCCACCAAGGCGACGAUCCGUAGCUGGUCUGAGAGGAUGAUCAGCCACACUGGAACUGAGACACGGUCCAGACUCCUACGGGAGGCAGCAGUGGGGAAUAUUGGACAAUGGGCGCAAGCCUGAUCCAGCCAUACCGCGUGGGUGAAGAAGGCCUUCGGGUUGUAAAGCCCUUUUGUUGGGAAAGAAAUCCAGCUGGCUAAUACCCGGUUGGGAUGACGGUACCCAGAGAAUAAGCACCGGCUAACUUCGUGCCAGCCGCCGCAGUAA
rnacentral:rRNA from 1 species